UACGUAGGGGGCGAGCGUUGUCCGGAGUUACUGGGCGUAAAGCGCUUGUAGGCGGUCCACCAAGUUUGGGGUGACAGUUGCCGACUUAAUCGGCAAAGUGCCUCAAAGACUGGCGGACUUGAGGGCCACAGAGGGACAUGGAACUCCAGGUGUAGUGGUGAAAUGCGUAGAUAUCUGGAAGAACACCAACGGCGAAAGCACUCUGCUGGGCCGACACUGACACUGAGAGACGAAAGCUAGGGAAGCGAAUGGG
rnacentral:rRNA from 1 species